CGCUACCGAAACCGCAUACUAGUAGAAGCUCAUCCAAAGCCAACGUUGUGCCGCCGCGGUCAUGGCAGCGAAGUUCUUUAUUCUCCGGCAGCGAGCGGCCUAUCCUCUUUCGAUGUCGGAAGCCGGUUUUGUCUUCCUGGGUGAUUUGACGCGGUCGCGGUACACCUGCAUCCAAGUUCGCUCUGCUUCGAUUGUGUGGAACACGGCAUACAAUACGUCACCACGUCGCGAAUAGAAGGGGACAGGAAGUUUUCGUAUUACACGGGCUCUUCCACUGGCACAACGCGCGACGCUUCGCAGGCAAUCGCUACACUGACAUUGUUUGUGCCAAUUUGUUCUUGAUUUUGUGAUUGUUGUUUGCUGAGAGGGCCCUGCGUCACGGGUGCGUACAUGGGUACUGCCACCAUACUAGCAACGAUGCAGGUUGAGAACGCCCUCAUGUGGAAGCGCCCCAGAGAAAAGAGCCUCCUGAAGUGCCAACAGUGCAACUACACCACCUGCCAACGAGGCCACAUGAACCGGCACAUGGUGGUGCACACGGGCAAGCGCCCCUUCGGGUGUCACCUGUGCCCCAUGGCGUUCAGCCGCCGAGCCAGCCUGGCCGAUCACGUGCAAACGCACAGCCGCAGCAAGAAGUUCCAGUGCCGCUAUUGCCCCGUCACGUUCACCGACCGGUCUGCACUCUGGCGGCACUUCACUGUAAUGCACUUCACGCCGUAGAAUUGUGUCGGCACGUUUUGCUGCAAAGCACACGGCUCUGAGUCCUUGCUGCCGCGGUGACAUUCCAAUGGGUGUGAAGUGCAAGCAUGCUUGUGUACUUGGAUUACGGCACAUGUUAAAGAACAAGAAGCAGAAAAGAAAGCAUGUGUUGCAUUUGAAUUUAAAUUGUGCCAGUAUGUGAAAGCAGCAAUACAUGGGAUCUCCCAUGGAGUAAGGACAGAAGUCAACAAGCCAAGCAUUCAGUUGGCUCUAGAUGUGCCACAUGGAAUGUGUCAGCGAGCUAUACGCCCGUACAUAUACACCGUAUGUAUGUAUACACCGUAUACCGUAUGUAGCAUAAAUGUACCGGGUAUUUCUUCUUCUUUUUUUACACCAUACAGAAUUUUUACAAAUUUCUGGCGGCAGAUAGCAUAAUUCUGGUCAUUGAGCUAGAUUACUUGAAGCAGCAGACAUUACUGGCUGGAGAUAUAGAAUUGCAUGAUCAAUUCUCAAAAACGUACUCGUGAGCUUUUUAAUUAUUUAUUUUACGGCAUGUAUUACAAAUUACAAGUUGCAGCCUGUGAGUUCGCAAGGUGUAUUCACUUGAAAGGAAUUCCCUGUGUCUGCAAGGAAAUGCAUGAGCAUUCUAAAUACCUUUAUGCUUCAAUGCAUAAAGUGGCAGUUUGUUGAAAAAGUAAGUGGGGCAAUAGUGCACCUUUACAAAAAGUUGGCGGUGCAUAUCUCCAAACCAGUGCCAUCCAUUGAAUUCGCUCCAAGUUCAUGUACCUGAUAAACUCAGCGGCUACCAUUCCUAAAUUGCAAUAGGUGCCUUAUCCUCCUCAGGCCUGCUCAGGGGCAUAAUUGCUUCGCAAGCUGGUUCUUAUUGCUGACUGGCAAACUAGCAACAUGAAAAACUAAUUUUUUUGUUCAAGUACCCUGGUUAGAUGCUCAGAACAGCGUCCCUGUGUGAAUGGACGAGGUAAUUAUGUCCUCGUGGUUCUUGUUGUAAAAACUGUUUUCUUUGGCCAAUACACUGAGAUGAAGCUCUAACACUGCGUAGUAUGUUGGCAUGCUUGUGCAACAUCCUCUAUUUUCGUGUCAACUGGCCAUAAUUGAAAAGCACUUCCUGGCUGCUUUUUGUCAUCUGUGACAACACACCGGCCUAGACUAAAUUGGUGGGAACUAUAAAAAGCUCACAGCAGUAUUGCACCUGAACCAUUUUCACACAGUUUUGCAUACCUCACCUUUUAUAUUGAGGAGAAAUGUUACAGCGAAGCUGUUAGCCUGUAGUUGGUCAAGAUUUUUCAUGGCCUUGUGUGUGUUGCUCACAAACACAAAAAAUGUCAUGUUUGGCCUGAUGACAUCAUCAGAUUACGAAAUCAGGCAAUGUUGUCACAUGACGAUGCUGUUUUCUUGUAUAUUCGAAUUGCAGUCCAAAGCUCUCAUGUCUGCAGCUCAUGUGCAAGUCGUGCUUUAUGAAUUUUCUAGUGCAAUUUACUUUGAGAAAUCCAAUUAGUUCAAUAAUACACUUGCACUUGAUGGAGGGCCUGGACGAAUGAGCAUGUAUGCUGCACUAUCACACACGUGCAUGCAUGACGUAUGUCGCUUGUGAUGGUGGUUCUUGUCUAACAUCUGUCAUGCAUGUCUAACAUCUGCAACAGGCUCACUGUACAUUCACUUUUACAGGGUGGAAUGGAGGCGUUUUUUUUUUACACAAUCGCUGCUGAGGCUAAUCUAAAGGAAGAAGAAAAGCAACAUGCCCAAAUGGGUAUGGGACUGGAGAGGUUGAAGCAAUUAAAAAAGUUAAUUAGUAAUUUUUUGGUACGUAGUCGAUUGUGCAUUUCGAUUUCUCGUGUGAAUACUGUCCGCCGCUUCGAGCAAUCCAGCUUACAGAUUACAUUACGAUAUCUGCACCACAAACUUUUUUAAAGUUCUGUAUGGUCUAAUGAAAACAUACUGUUUGUGCAUAUAUCCAUAGGAUACGCAUGCGGCAAAAGCAUUAAACUGCUUGCUGCAGAACAGUUGUUUGAUUCAUAACAACCAUCCUUAACGAAAUCAAGCAUGCCUUGCAUUACCUAGAUGUGAAGUGAAGUUAAUACUGCUCUUAUUUUAAGCAUAUGGCAAAACUAGACUGGAUCUCAAUUGGUGACUGAAUGUUAGGCGAAUGUGUUUCUGCCGAUCAUCGGUGAUAUAGUCACUGCCUGCUCUACGUGUCACUCAUUAUUAUAUUCAACAUGGUGGUGUGAAAGCUUUUGUAGAUAGCAAGCGCUUAGCAGCCUUUUAUUGAGAAGCAUUGCAUUUUAUCAUUCUCUUGUGACUGCUUUAUUUACAAAAGCUGACAAUAUUAAUCCAGCCAUAUAUCUUUGAUCACUUGCAUUGUGCGUCCUUCAAACGUUCCUUUUAUUUGUCAAAGGGAAGCAGAGUGUUUCUUUACAUGUUGUAGCACCCCUUCAGUAUAGCAGAAGAAACACGAUUUUAAUUCUGCAUCCUUAAAAUGUACACAUCUGUUCCAUUAAAUUGUGAUUAAGAUCAUUGCAGCUAAGCAUCCUAACAUGCAGCUCUGUGCUGGUGACAAAUAGCUGCAAUCCGGUGGUCUUGUUUAGUUGGACCAACAGUAAACAUUGUACAUAUUUAGAGGGAGUGUGUGCGUUCUCUCACCUUAUUUUCUGUGGCAACAAACCAGGCAAUAAAGUGGACAUGCAUAAUUUGUUCAA